CUCAGGAUGAACGUUGGCGGUGUGCCUAAUACAUGCAAGUCGAACGGUGACGAUUUUGUAGCAAUACGAAUGAAAUCAUAGUGGCGAACGGGUGAGUAACGCGUUGGUGAUCUGCCUCGAAGUGUGGAAUAACUUCCCGAAAGGGUAGCUAAUACCGCAUAGCCUCUCAAGGUUUAGAAAAUUGAGAGUAAAGGAUUUAUUCGCUUCGAGAGGAGCCUGCGUCCCAUCAGCUAGUUGGUAGGGUGAUAGCCUACCAAGGCAAUGACGGGUAGGGGACCUGAGAGGGUGGCCCCCCACAAUGGAACUGAAACACGGUCCAUACACCUACGGGUGGCAGCAGUAGGGAAUAUUAGAAAUGGGCGAAAGCCUGAUCUAGCAACACCGCGUGUGCGAUGAAGGCCUUCGGGUUGUAAAGCACUUUUUGGAGGGAAUAGGAAGGAAGGUACCUCCAGAAUAAGUCUCGGCUAACUACGUGCCAGCAGCCGCGGUAACACGUAGGAGGCAAACGUUAUCCGGAUUCACUGGGCGUAAAGCGCGUGUAGGUGGUUCUGUAAGUAGGGCGUGAAAGCUCCCGGCUCAACUGGGAGAGGCCGUACUAAACUGCAGAGCUAGAGGAUGGUAGAGGGAGGUGGAAUUCCAGGUGUAGUGGUGAAAUGCGCAGAUAUCUGGAGGAACACCAGUGGCGAAGGCGGCCUCCUGGACCAUUCCUGACACUCAGACGCGAAAGCUAGGGUAGCAAACGGAAUUAGAGACUCCGGUAGUCCUAGCCCUAAACGAUGCAGACUAGGCGUCGGCGGUUUAAUCACCGUCGGUGUCCAAGCUAACGCGAUAAGUCUGCCGCCUGAGGACUACGGCCGCAAGGCUAAAACUCAAAGGAAUUGACGGGUCCCCGCACAAGCAGCGGAGCGUGUGGUUUAAUUCGAUGCUCCGCGAAGAACCUUACCUGGGUUUGACAUAACAGUGGUAGAGAAGUGAAAACGGAUCGACCCUUCGGGGAGCUGUUACAGGUGUUGCAUGCCUGUCGUCAGCUCGUGUCGUGAGAUGUUCGGU
rnacentral:rRNA from 1 species